GUGGGAGCUAAAGUAACUGUACUGAUAGGAAUGUAUUAGCCUCAGAAGCUACUGAAGUGGCCAGUUCUGCCUCAUACAGUA
ensembl:snoRNA SNORA66 Small nucleolar RNA SNORA66